rnacentral:rRNA from 1 species
GUGGACAAGGCAAUGUGGUGUAUUGGUGUGUACCUAGUACCGUUUGUCUACUCAAAGUCCAACUACGAUUGUGGCUUGGAUUUGUUCCAUAGAGGGUGAAAGACCCGUAUGAGUAGAUAUUAUUGCAUUCAAGAACGGUACCUAGGAGUGCAUAUCAAAGAGUCGGAUUGCUUGAGAAUGCAGUCCAAAGACGGGUGGUAAACUCCAUCCAAGGCUAAAUACUGGCACGAGUCCGAUAGUAAACAAGUACCGUGAGGGAAAGUUGAAAAGUACUCUGAAGAGAGAGUAAAUAGUACGUGAAGCCGCCUGUAGGGAAGCUGGUGGAGUCAAGCUUCUUGCCCUUUGGUUUGGUAUGGGGAUAAUUAUCUGAAUAUGGAGGAAUGUGGCCUGUAAACUGCUGGGUGAACUAGUUUGCUCAAGGUUUAACGGGUAGUUAGCUUUGAAUUCCUCCUAUCUUCACGUCCCUUGUCCUAUACUAAUUGGCAUCCAUCACAGUCGAUGCAUGUUUUGCACUGAAGGGUCUAACUGUGCUGAGGCAAGCCACUGGCUUACUUAGUACAGAACGGCAGGUCGAGGCAAGGCGUUUUACGCUUGUGUCUCUUUGUAUCGUAUUAUACCGCCGGCCCUUUGGUUUAUUUGUACUCCAUGCAUUGUUUCUCUUGUAGGUUCUGCCAAUUGGUGGUGCCGCUUAGAGCUGUGGUGUUGAAGUAGAUUUUCCACCCGACCCGUCUUGAAACACGGACCAAGGAGUUUAACAUGUAUGCAAGUCAAUGGGUACAGUUCUCUGAAACCCAAUGGCGAAAUUAAAGUGAAUGGCUGCCUUGGUAGCCUUAGGUGUGAUCUAUAUAGUUCUUAAAGAGCUGUGUGGCGCAACACCGGCCCGUUUUUGAAUGUAGCUUUAGAGCCUUGGUUCUAUUGCAUCAUUUAGGCGGAGCAAGAGCAUACAUGUUGAGACCCGAAAGAUGGUGAACUACACUUGCGUAGGUUGAAGCCAGAGGAAACUCUGGUGGAAGACCGUCGCGGUUUUGACGUGCAAAUCGAUCGUCAAACGUGAGUAUAGGGGCGAAAGACUAAUCGAACCAUCUAGUAGCUGGUUCCCUCCGAAGUUUCCCUCAGGAUAGCUGGCAUUCACUUCGCUAAACAGUUUUAUCUCGUAAAGCGAAUGAUUAGAGGUAUUGGGGGCUAAUAGCUCUCAACCUAUUCUCAAACUAUAAAUGGGUACGAUGCUUCACUCGCUUUAUUGGAGUGUUGCAUUGAAUGUGAAUGCCAAGUGGACCAAUUUUGGUAAGCAGAACUGGUGCUGUGGGAUGCUCCGAACGUCCAGUUAAGGUGCCUAAUGAGUACGCUCAUGAGACACCAAAAAAGGUGUUAAUGCAUAGAGACAGCAGGACGGUGGCCAUGAAAGUUGGAAACCGCUAAGGAGUGUGUAACG